rnacentral:misc_RNA from 1 species
UCUCUUAAUUCUUGAUUACAUACUUGAUUUAAGUUAGAAUUUGUAAGAAAAUGGAAUGAAAUUCAUAUGUAUGUAAACCCUUAAAUUUCAGCAGCCAAGAGAGGGUGAGGGUUUUGAGGGUUUACUUGCAAUUAAGCUUGUAUAUUAAUGUCAAUUAAUGUGUAUACAUGAAGUGGAGUUGAAAUUUUAUGAGUUUGCAUGAGAUUGAGACUUUGAUCAAUUAGGGUUUGUGAUAAAUUAGGGGUUGUUGUGUUUUGAUGCUUAAUUAGAAUUCUAAUGGUUAAUUAGUUACCUUUUGAUAUGGUAUGACCUCAAAAUAAAAUUGUUUGUGGCAUUGCAAAUUGAUUUGGUUUGCUGCCCCUAUGGUGCCAUAUUUUCUGGACUUGAGUCCAGUGUGGUUGGGUUAUAAUAAUUAGACUUGUGUAGCUCCAAUUAGUGCAAGGCCAAUUGGAGGUGAAAUUUGACAUAUAAAGCCACAUUUUUUAUGAAGAAACCCUGCCCAGAAAAUCAACUUAGGAUGACCUAAAAUCUGCCUCAAUCCGGGUAACCAACCUGCUAGACCUGUAAAUUGACCAAAUGAACAGUAUUUGUUC